UACGUAGGAUGCAAGCGUUGUCCGGAAUUAUUGGGCGUAAAGAGCGCGCAGGCGGUCUAUCAAGUCAGAUGUGAAAUAUCCCGGCUUAACCGGGAGGGGUCAUUUGAAACUGGUAGACUAGAGUACAGCAGGGGAUAGUGGAAUUCCCGGUGUAGUGGUGAAAUGCGUAGAUAUCGGGAGGAACACCAGUGGCGAAGGCGACUAUCUGGGCUGAAACUGACGCUGAGGCGCGAAGGCUAGGGGAGCAAACAGG
rnacentral:rRNA from 1 species